UAGGGAAUCUUCCGCAAUGGACGAAAGUCUGACGGAGCAACGCCGCGUGAGCGAAGAAGGUCUUCGGAUCGUAAAGCUCUGUUGUCAGGGAAGAACAAGUACCGUUCGAACAGGGCGGUACCUUGACGGUACCUGACGAGGAAGCCACGGCUAACUACGUGCCAGCAGCCGCGGUAAUACGUAGGUGGCAAGCGUUGUCCGGAAUUAUUGGGCGUAAAGCGCGCGCAGGCGGUUCCUUAAGUCUGAUGUGAAAUCUCGCGGCUCAACCGCGAGCGGCCAUUGGAAACUGGGGACCUUGAGUGCAGGAGCGGGGAGCGGAAUUCCACGUGUAGCGGUGAAAUGCGUAGAGAUGUGGAGGAACACCAGUGGCGAAGGCGGCUCUCUGGCCUGUAACUGACGCUGAGGCGCGAAAGCGUGGGGAGCGAACAGG
rnacentral:rRNA from 1 species